ACUAUAUUGAUUUGUCAUUUCACAUUGGUUGUGUUCGUAUUUAUAUGUUUUCUCUAUCAAUUUAUUCAUUUUCUUGUUUUUGUCAUCAUUGCCUGUCUGGACAAAACACUCAUCCAAAACCAAACUCAUUGCGUCAUACAUGUACGAACUUGUUAUCACAUUCAAUUUGUGGCAAAAUCUGGCCCCAGUUUCAUGCCACUUGUUACCGCAGAAUUCUGGGCUAUCGGCCCAUAAAUCCACAUGCUUUGUAUAUAAUUAUAUGGAUCUGCAGAAUUCUUGGGUAAGCAAUGUGUCAUAAAAAUUGGCCCUGCGUCGAAAUCAUGCAUUUAAGCUUUAAUUUUAAAAAUGGGUAAUCGGUAAAGAUCAACCUUAACUUUUUGUGAAAUAAAGCUCUGGUGUCAUCAACUCCAUAAAUUCAACCACAGACCCUACUAACAUUAUCAUCGCUUUGCUAUACCAAUUCGUAGUAGCAGAUUUAUGUCAUAAAAAGUGUUUUGCUUAGCAUGCUACGGGUAUACCUGAUUUCAAUACAUUUUGCUUCCGACGUAAACGCAUCCAGUUUUUUACAGCUUGCUUAUCCAUUUCAAAAUUAACCUUUAAGAAGAUGAUCUUCGGAUCCUCAUUGUAGACAAUACACGAACAUGGACUAACGUUUUUUAUAAAAUGUUAUGAAUAUUAUAACGAUUAUUGUGUCAAUUAUGCCAUAACUAAUCUCUGAAAAUAUCGAUCAGCCGUGAGUAGCCGUUGCACUCGAAUUGUAAUUUUGUCCUUCAAAUUUUAAAAACAGAAGUUGCUAUCAAACAUGUAAACAUAAGUUGCAUUGCCUCUCAAACCAGUGUUGCUCCAUUUGAAAAAAUAUCAUGUGCGUAAAAAUAAUAAGGUACUCUGUUCGAGCCACGUGGUCUGUGCGCAAAACGCAGUUAAGCGUGGAUUAUUGACCCAAUCUGGCGUUGCUAUUGGACAAGACAGCUAAGGAGAAUUUUUGUUUAAGAAGAUGUUUUCAACCAUAGUCUUCUUAACCGGUGGUCUUUAGAAGGGGUGAGUUGUCGUUGAAAUCAUAAAAUAUAACCACAAAUAACGAAUGUUCUCUAAAAUAUGAUUCUGUCAUCAAUAAUCGUGGGGCUAUUUGUGUUUCUGUCCAUUUUAGGCAUAUUUAGCACGCAAUUAUUAUUAUUUCAAUGCCUUCAUGGUGUUUUUUUUAAACAUAUCAGUUAGCGUCACAAGGUAAUAAUUUAUAGAAAGUUUUCAUAAUGUGGUCUUUGAGAGUCGUUAUUAAUUUUAACAUUCGGUCGAAAAAACAACAACAAGAUUUUGUCCUAGUUUCGGCAAACUUCCUUCAAGCGGAGCUAAUUCAACGCAAAAAGUUUCGUUAUCAAAGUUACUGUUAGUUUGAUUAGGAGUAUUUGUUGCCUCAAGAUCUGAAAAUUAAUUAUGUCUGUUAUUUAUUUAGUUAGUUAUUUUUUUGAAAUCACAGUUGGCUUUUGGGUAGUUUUAUCAGCAGACCAGAUCAAUACACAUCUGCUUUUAAUAUUUUUUUUUUCAAAAAGGAAGUUUACCCCAACCAAACAAGGCUAAAAAAACACUUAUGGUUAGGGGCUACAAGAAUAAAGACAUAUCAAUAAAUAACGCGAGCUGAAGGUAUGAGUUGGCAUUUCUCUUAAAGUAGUCUAGAUUGUUUGAUGACGGGAAACAUACACCAGGCAAUGAUGUUUCAAAGAGACUCGUUUGGUUUAGUUUGAAAUUUGAAUUCAAAUUUGUUGUUUUGAAUAUUUUUCAACAGUUCCUUGGUUUAGUUUUUAUAUUUUGCACCGAGGGAUUUAUUGUAGGCCUAUCAUUAUCAGUGUUUAUAGGGAGGAUAAAUAUAAUAUUAAAUAUAAACAUAAUGGAAAUCAUGCAAAUACUACAAAACAGUUACUAAAACCUGAUUCAAAUGUUUCCAUGUGUGGCUUCCUGAACACUUUUUAAAAAUUUUGUGUUUACAGAUUGGUUGCCAGGGAAACCGUGGGAAAUUCGGUACAGGUUUGAGUGUCGGUAUCAUCAUAGGCAUUGUGUUCGGGUGUCUGGCUCUGUUAGCGAUAUUACUGGCCGUGUGUGUAGCUGCAUGUAGAUACCACAAAAAGACUAAUGUAUCACCAGAAACUGACCAGAACAAGAAAGGAAAGGACAAAAAGGUUAAUGGCAAAGCAGAUGACAAAGCAGCUGGAGUGGCAGAUGUGUAAAAUUGCACUUUCACACAAAAUUCUUUAACAUCAGAAUGUUGUCUUCGGCUGAUCGAUAGUUGUCUUAAAAAGAGCUUGAACUUUACUUGGUCAAAUAGUGUCCAGUCAGUCGUUAAACAGUGAACUGAAUUGUUUUAAACGGCAGACAUGGGUGUACUGGUUCAAUGCAAGUUCUUGACGGGCAGAGAAAUACACAGGAAGAUCAUUAUGUGACUCAAGACUGACCGUUGAAGUAGAUGGUCGAAUGAAACUCGAGAGAAUUUUUUUUAAAGACAGCUUUUUAAAAAGAGCAAAAUAAAACCGUGUUUUUUUUGUGUAAAUUUCAUCCUGCACUACAAAUUAACUCUGCUCAGGCUUGUUGCAAAGCUGUUUGAGUGUAACUUAGUCAGCAGUUUGAGCCCAUUACAUUUGUACAUUCAUUAGAAGACAGUUCAUUCAUGUAUAAACUAUUGUACAGUUUAUGCUUCCCCCUUUUUUUUUCCUUGUCUUUUUAUCGUUUAUUCUGUUUAUAAUUUAAUGUAGGCUUUUGCUUUUAAA